UUCUUUCUUUUUUUUUUUUCUGAGACGGAGUUUUGCUCUUGUUGCCCAGGCUGGAGUGCAAUGGCACAAUCUCGGCUUACUGCAACCUCUGCCUACCGGGUUCAAGUGAUUCUCCUGCCUCAGGCUCCCAAGUAGCUGGGAUUACAGGUAUGCACCACCAUGCCCAGCUAAUUUUUUGUAUUUUUAGUAGAGACAGGGUUUCACCAUGUUGGCCACAUUGGUCUCGAACUCCUGACCUCGGGUGAUCCAUCCACCUUGGCCUUCCAAAGUGCUGGGAUUCUGUAAUGUGAGCCACCAUGCCCAACUACAUUUUCUUAAAAGUGUCUUUUGUGCAGCAGAUUUUAAUUUUCAUGAAUUCUAAUUUAUUACUAUUACUUUUCAUUUAUUUUAGAGGAGAGUGUGGCUGGCUCUGAUGUUUAAUGAUAUGGGAACAGAGAGAGGUAGGAAGGCCUGAACCAGCCAAGAGACUUUACCAGAGAUCUUGUAAUCCUGUCCUCUGUCAUAUAAAGAGCAUGUCACAGUCACGGCUGGUCCCAGAAUGAAGAGACUUGUGGAGUGGACUUGAAUCCCGCGCACAGCCUUGAUCCAAGCCUAGCUGAUUCUAGUUGAAGCCAGAGAGCCGCAGCUGAACCUGUAACCUAUGAGUAGAAAAUCAAAGCUUAUUGGAACAAAAGGAGCUGGGCCCAGGGAGGAGGAGCAUGUUGCCCGAGCUUCAACUUUGAAGGAGGGGCCUCCACUUCAAAGAGGAAGAAGGCAAGAGAGAAGAAAGAGGAAAAAGAAGAAAGACUUCUUUCUGCUGCCUUCUGAUCUCCUGCCAGUGUAUCUCUUCCUGGAGAGCCUAAUGGGAAACAAUCAAUAAGGAAGCCUGAGAAACAUAGUUCACAGGCCCCUGGUCCCAGCGUUCACAAGCAGAAAAUGGAAAGUAAAUUAUUGGCACAGUACCCAUAUGGAGAAAUGAAAAUUGACUUCUUUCUCAUACCAUACACACUGUAACAUUUAAAUAUUAAGGGCAAACAAUGAAAUGUUCAGAGAAAAAAAUGGAGGAAAAAUGUUUCACUAUCAAAGAGUAGACACUUUUUUUUUUUUUUUUUUUUUUAGAUGGGGUCUUUUUUUGUCACCUAGGCUAGAGUGCAGUGGCACAAUCUCGGCUAACUGCAACCUCUGCCUCCUGGGUUCAAGGGAUUCUCCUGCCUCAGUCUCCCGAGUAGCAGGGAUUACAGAGGUGCACCACGAUGCCUG
rnacentral:lncRNA from 1 species